rnacentral:lncRNA from 1 species
CUUUACCCCCUGUAAUAUAGGCCAUUUCUAGGUUUACCCCCUGUAAAUUUAUUUUUUUAUUUACCCCCUGUAAAAGUUUUUUUUUCCAGAAUACCCCUCAAUAGGUUAUAUAAAAACCAAAUUUUUUAUAAAGAAAAAAUAAAAAUUUGUUUUUGUAUGGCCUAUUAGGUAUUUUGGAAAAAAAAUAUUUUAUAGGGGGCUAAAUCAAAAAAAAUAUUUUACAGGGGUAAAUGCAUCGAAGAAUUUUGUAAUAAAUAUAAUAUUAAGAAGAAUGUUUUUGUGUGACCUCAUUUUUUAGUAUACUAAAGAGACAAACACAACACAUUGAUGUAUUUACUGGAUAUUUUAUUUAUAAUGAUAAAAAGAAAAUGAGCUUUAUAAAUAUAAAGUGAUAAAUACAUAUAUUACAAACAAAAGAGAGAUAUAUGGCUAAAAUUGUCAAUUUUAUUUAUAGUAUGAUUAUCUUUCUUUCCCUAUUUCUAGUUGAAACAAAUGCUCAAUGGAUUUAUCCUGCUUGUUUAAAGAUAUAUGUGUCGACAACUUAAGUGCCACCUGGUAGAACACCGAAGUGCGUGAUUAUCAGUGUGAUGUUCUCCUCAAGCGUUGGGAUCAUAUCAUCUACUCACAUGAUUCUUCAUUUGGUGCUAGACCCAAGAUUGUACACAAAUAAUCUUCUACAAUAUUCCACAUGCUAUAUAAUUUAGUUAUUUUAUCACCACCCAAUAAAUUAAUUUUAUUCUUUUUAUAAUUUCAAGAACUUUUUAGUUUUAUAUUGUACUCUAAAAUAAUGAUAAUGAAAUAAAAUAUGACAACAACAAAUAUUAUGUAGAUUAUUAUAAUAUCUUUAAUACAUAGGUUUACAAAAUAGAUAUUAACUUCUAAGCCUAAAAAUUUAUAUUAUUUGUCAUAAUACUAUUACAUUUGUGAUUUUUCUCAUACUUAAAUUUAUAUUUCUUUUAAAUAUAAAUUUUUUGAAUAGCCUUUUAGGCAUUGUUUGCUUUUAAGGGAUAUGAACAUAUAGAACAUCAUUACAAAAUUGUAAUGAUCUAAUAUUGAUAUGUUUGGGAGCAGAGGUUAAGGAUGACGCGGCUGUUGUGCUUGUGUUGCAGCAAACCAAUAUAGUGGUGGAUAAGGAACUUCGAUACGGUUGAGGCUUGUUAUGCGGUGGUUGACCGCAGUACUUGUAAAAUAAACACAUGCUUCGAAGCCACUUGAAGUAUCUUCUCGAGAAUAAGAAAUUGUUUAUCCUAUUAUUUUGAGAUAUGUCGUACCCCAAUUUUUUAUCUAAGAUCCCACAUUCAUACAUUCUCUGAUCUGGGAUAUUCUUUGACUUUUAAAUACCUCAUUUUUUUGUUCCAAUUCGGGCCUCUUUUUAUUUUAUUUUUGACUAAAGUGCACUUUUCCCCCUCUAAGUUUAAAAAGUUGCAAUUUUGGCCCCCUAUGUACAAAAAUAACAAUUUUGGCCCCCCUAAGAUUUAGCCGAUUUGCAACUUUGAUCCUUUUGACCAAUUUUGACCAGUCAAUGCCUACGUGGCUCGCCACAUGUGUAAUUAUUGAAUUAAAAAAAUUUAAAAAAAACAUAUAAUCAUUUUUUAAAUUAAAUAAAUGAAAAAUGAAAUUAAAAAAUUAAAAAAAUCAGAAAAAAAUUAAAAAUCCCAAAUCUUAAUAUCCAUCUUCAUUUCAUCGUAUCUCUUCCAAUUUCAAAACCGUUUCAACCAACCCUUCUUCUUCUUCUUCUUCUUCCAUCUCUUUCUCUAACCAUCAUCAAUUCUUUUUUUUUCUUUUUUGAAGUUAAAAAAUGACUAAUGUAAUUUUGUCUUAAACAUUUAUGAGGUGUGUUAUUUGAACAACCAAUUGAAUGACAACUUUUGUGACAACCACUAAUUUACAAAGGAAAGUAGAUAGUGACACGAAAAUCAAAACAAUAGAGAGAGAAAGUAAAAAAAUAAUGUGAAUAUAAAAGAUAAAGUUGUCACAUAAGUUGUGUUGUCAAAAUAUCAUUUCUCAACAUUUAUCUAUGGAUCUGUCUAUUUUCCCUAGGUGACUUGAAUGGUUAAAUCUUAUUCCAUAUCCAAUUGCAAUUCGGAUCGAUUAAUCAAUGGGAAAAGAAAAGGUAGAGCUAGUGCCAUGGCAGAAGCUAGACGACAAAGUGGUGUUGGUAACCGGCGCUUCCUCCGGCAUCGGAUACGACUUCUGCCUCGAUCUCGCUAAAGCCGGCUGCAGGAUCGUUGCCCGCUGCUCACUGUCUUGACCGCCUCCACUCCCUUUGCCAUCAAAUCAACCAUCUAUACGGAAACGGAAACCUCAACCUCGGCGCCUAAAAUGGGUUUGUGAGAUACACCUAAAAAGAAAUUGAAGGAAAGAGUUGAAUCUGAAAGGGUGUUGUGCUCAUAAGACUGAGUUUGGUGUUGGGUCUAAAUUAUGAACAAUUGAUUGCCUUGCUCUCCUCUCUAAUGUCCAAUUCAUGGAGGUAUUCAUGUGCACAGUAUUGUAUGGGUUAUGGUGAUGGUUUCAAAUGAGUUUCUCAUGUCUUUUAAGUUUGUUGGUAGAAAUUACUUUUCAAGGAAAAAAAGGAAUACAAAAAUUCUGUAAUAAUUUGUUUUUGAAAGAAAAAAAAUUAGAUUUUU